UCAUUUAAAUAUUGAAGGUGCGUGAAUUCAGCAAAAUAUUCCAAUAUAGUCCAGCAGUCCAUAAUAGUAGUGGGUUAUCCGCAGCACUGGCAUGUCAGAAGUUCUUAACUUCAGCCUUUUACAGCUCAGCAUAU